AUGACGUCAAAUCAUCAUGCCCCUUAUGACCUGGGCUACAAACGUGAUACAAUGGCUGAAACAAAGGGCAGCGAAGCAGUGAUGUGGAGCGAAACCCAAAAAAGCAGUCUCAGUUCGGAUUGAAGUCUGCAACUCGACUUCAUGAAGUUGGAAUCGCUAGUAAUCGUAGAUCAGAACGCUACGGUGAAUACGUUCUCAGGGUUU
rnacentral:rRNA from 1 species